GUGGGGAAUAUUGGACAAUGGGCGAAAGCCUGAUCCAGCAAUGCCGCGUGAGUGAUGAAGGCCUUAGGGUUGUAAAGCUCUUUUACCCGGGAUGAUAAUGACAGUACCGGGAGAAUAAGCUCCGGCUAACUCCGUGCCAGCAGCCGCGGUAAUACGGAGGGAGCUAGCGUUGUUCGGGAUUACUGGGCGUAAAGCGCACGUAGGCGGCUUUGUAAGUUAGAGGUGAAAGCCUGGAGCUUAACUCCAGAACUGCCUUUAAGACUGCAUCGCUUGAAUCCAGGAGAGGUGAGUGGAAUUCCGAGUGUAGAGGUGAAAUUCGUAGAUAUUCGGAAGAACACCAGUGGCGAAGGCGACUCACUGGCCCGUUACUGACGCUGAGGCGCGAAAGCGUGGGGAGCAAACAGGAUUAGAUACCCCGGUAGUCC
rnacentral:rRNA from 1 species